ACUCAGAGCAUGGUGAUAGUGGUGUGGUUUAGAGCCUGACCUUAAACUUAGAGAUCUGGGAGUUUCGGAGAAACUGAAAACAGACACGUUAGUGACUAAAGAGAAAGGUGAAGAUAUGGACAAGUGAACAAAAACGCCCAGAAUUCAAGGCAACUUGCUCCCUAAUGUGGGACUAUCUGCUCCUCGCCGGCCUGCUAUUGUGUGUCACUUAACAAGCGUCCAGGCUUGUCACCAUGCCUCACAUUGACAUCUGUCAGCACCCUCAGUCCCUUACAUCAUUCAUAACCAACAGACGUCCUUGUGGUUUCACACUGACCCAGCCCAAUUCUUAGUAAAACCGCUUCCAGUUGACACUGGUGCUGAAUGGAAGAAACACACCAGGUCCUUUAGCUGUUAGAAACUCUGGAAUCUCUCUGUGGAUCUCUUCUCCCUUUGAUGCUGAGCAGUUUGAUCCUUCUCCUGACCUCUGAACUCCAACCCUUGGAAGAACUUGUCCCCCUUUCUAAUCACCUUCUUCUGUACAUCUUCAACAUUUUCCUUCCAAACCAUACAUCCCUGUGAGGAGUGGGUGUGGCAGCAGUCUCAAGAUGGCACCCGGGACUGCAGCCAAGUCUUAUGACUUGCACCUGACUUCCUCAUACACCUGAAAAUAAGCCACGACCAUCGCGAGAACUGCGCAGGUGCACCAUGAUGCAAGAUCGGACCAUAUGACGAGUGAUGAUUCUGGUCAAUGAACUGUUGUU
rnacentral:lncRNA from 1 species